AACGUAGGAGCCAAGCGUUAUCCGAAUUCACUGGGCGUAAAGCGCGUGCAGGCGGCCUGGAAAGUUGGAUGUGAAAUCUCUCGGCUCAACUGGGAGAGGCCGUUCAAGACUAUCAGGCUCGAGGGCGACAGAGGGAGGUGGAAUUCCGGGUGUAGUGGUGAAAUGCGUAGAUAUCCGGAGGAACACCAGAGGCGAAGGCGACCUCCUGGGUCGUACCUGACGCUCAGACGCGAAAGCUAGGGGAGCAAACGGG
rnacentral:rRNA from 1 species